UGGGGAAUAUUGCACAAUGGGCGCAAGCCUGAUGCAGCGACGCCGCGUGCGGGAUGGAGGCCUUCGGGUUGUAAACCGCUUUUGUUCAAGGGCAAGGCAGGCUUUCGGGCCUGUUGAGUGGAUUGUUCGAAUAAGCACCGGCUAACUACGUGCC
rnacentral:rRNA from 1 species